rnacentral:rRNA from 1 species
CGUAGGUGGCAAGCGUUGUCCGGAGUUACUGGGUGUAAAGGGCGUGUAGGCGGGAAGAUAAGUCAGAUGUGAAAUUCCAUGGCUCAACUGUGGCGCUGCAUCUGAAACUAUUUUUCUUGAGUGAUGGAGAGGAAAGUGGAAUUCCUAGUGUAGCGGUGAAAUGCGUAGAUAUUAGGAGGAACACCAGUGGCGAAGGCGACUUUCUGGACAUUAACUGACGCUGAGGCGCGAAAGCGUGGGGAGCAAACAGGAUUAGAUACCCUGGUAGUCCACGCUGUAAACGAUGGAUACUAGGUGUAGGAGGUAUCGACCCCUUCUGUGCCGGAGUUAACACAAUAAGUAUCCACCUGGGAGUACGGCCGCAAGGUUG